GGCAGUGUAUCUGUGGUAUAGCAGCCGCACACACCUUGUUGCAGUGAAACCUGUGGAGUUAUUCCCUGUGAGCGCCAGAGAUUGGUGAGUCUGUGCACAGGUAUUUCCUGAAGGACAAAGGGACCGUGAAGGAUUGACUGACUUUUGGCGAUAAGGAAUGGACCGGGGGGGAGGAAGGAGAGAUGCAACACAAGGGAACACAAAGAAAGAUCCAGCAGCAGCAGCCCUUUUGGUCCUUACUGUGGCAUUCAAAGAGGAUAUUGAUUCGUGAAUUGAGGACAUGAUGAUAAAUAGUUAGAUAAAAUGGAUGAAAGGAAGGAAAAGGAAGGAAGGAAGGAAGGAGGAAAUUAAAUGAAGGAAUUAGAAUGGAGUUAAAAAAGGGAGGGAGAGAUGGAAGGAAAAAAGAAAGAAGGAAAUUAAAUGAAGGAAAAAAGAAUGAAAUUAAGGUUAAAGGGAGGGAGGGAAAGAAAGAAGGAAACAAGGAAGAAAGGAAGGAAGGAAAUAACAAGAACACAAAAUAUGGACGAAUGAAUAAGUAACGAAGAAAAGAAGAAAAAAUAGAGACAAAAAACAAAGUGAAGCAAGAUGAAGAAGGAAAAUGGAAAAAAGAAGAGAUAAAGAGAAAAAGAAAAGGAAAUAAAAAAAAUAUUCCUCA